rnacentral:rRNA from 1 species
GCAUAUCAAUAAGCGGAGGAAAAGAAAAUAACAAUGAUUCCCUUAGUAACGGCGAGUGAAGGGGGAUAAGCUCAAAUUUUAAAUCUACCAGGUUAACCUGGUCGAGUUGUAAUUUGAAGAAGCGUUUUCCGCGUUCGGGUCGGCCCAAAUCCUUUGGGAUAAGGUAUCAUGGAGGGUGAGAAUCCCGUUCGGCUGACCUUAGGAUGCUUUACGAUACGCUCUCAAAGAGUCGAGUUGUUUGGGAUUGCAGCUCAAAAUGGGAGGUAAAUUUCUCCUAAGGCUAAAUACCGGCGAGAGACCGAUAGCGAACAAGUACCGUGAGGGAAAGAUGAAAAGAACUUUGAAAAGAGAGUUAAAUAGUACGUGAAAUUGUUGAAAGGGAAACGAUUGAAGUCAGUCGUACCGGCGGGAAAUCAGCUUCUCGAGUGGGGGUUCGCGGGUGCGUGGAGCUUCGGCCUUCGUCGCUUGUGACACCUUUUGCUUCUGGAGCGUACUUUUCCGUGUGGUAGGUCAACAUCGGUUUCGAUUGCCAUAAAAUGACCGGAGGAAUGUGGCUUCGAUCUUGUAUUGGAGUGUUAUAGCCUCUGGUAGAUGUGGUGGUUGGGAUCGAGGAUUGCAACGAAUACCCUUUGGGCUAUCCGUCUGACCUCUGAAAGUCGCUCGGGUGUUGAAAGCGUGCUUAUAACAUUCUAGUUGGCGGUCAAAAGGUUAGAACGCGAUUACAUUCGUUAAGGAUGUUGACGUA